AGAGUUCGAUUAUGGCUCAGGACGAACGCUGGCGGCGCGCCUAACACAUGCAAGUCGAACGGAGAAUGUGAGACGGAAGCCUUCGGGCGGAAGACUUAUAUUCUUAGUGGCGGACGGGUGAGUAACACGUGAGCAACCUGCCUUCAAGAGUGGGAUAGCACCUGGAAACGGGUGGUAAUACCGCAUGAGACCACAGCAUCGCAUGAUGCAGAGGUCAAAGGAGCAAUCCGCUUGAAGAUGGGCUCGCGUCCGAUUAGAUAGUUGGUGAGGUAACGGCUCACCAAGUCGACGAUCGGUAGCCGGACUGAGAGGUUGAACGGCCACAUUGGGACUGAGACACGGCCCAG
rnacentral:rRNA from 1 species